UACAGUUAUGGGUCAUGCCUGUGCAGCUCUCUCAGCACUACUGGCAGGGAUCUCCGAAAUCCACAGGAAGAAUUACCCCCAAGUGGAGCAGACAUUAUCAGGAAAGGUCCUGCAUGUGUCCUCUAUGACCUGUUUCCAGCUUACGCCCCAGUACAUUUUACUGGGAGUGGCAGAGGCCUUUGUGACACCAGCAUGAAACUUCUAUCCUAAUAACCUCAGCAGUGGCAACAUGGAGAGGUUUUUCUUUACGCUGGCCACAUUAAUGGCUAUAAACACACUGGUGUUUUGGAGAAUAUCACAAAGGUACACAGAUCUGAGCGUGGAGCUGAGUAGCGGGGCAGGACACAGUCACCUGUACGAGAAACUCCUGCAGUACAAGACCUGUCUGCGUUUUUAUGACACGUUGGAUCGUUCGGACACCUUGACGUCCAUGGAAACUGUCUUGUAAAUUAAUUGUACAUAUUAACCCUGUAAUGCUGGCAUUACACAAAAGACUCUG